ACCUAAACCUUUCAAUCUCAUCUCACGCCGUUUUCACUUUCUCUACUACUCUACCUGUAACCUGUAUAAGUUUCACUUUCAUCUCACGUUGGAGGACAAAUUUUUUCAAAGCUUGUAGCAGUUAACCUCUUCAGUUCUUCAUUGAUUUUGCAAAGAUGUCCAAUAUGGCAGCAUCUGUUGAGGGCAAUGUUUCACCCCCUUUAUCAAAUUCAACGACUGAAGCUUAAAGUCAAAUCAACAACACAAGAGGGACUACAAGUAAACGAAAAGCUAUUCCUUUAAUGUCAGAAGUAUGGUGUCAUUUUACUAAGUUUGUUAAUAGUGAGGGUGAAAGUAAGGGUAGAUGCAAUCAUUGUGAUAAAGAAUUUCGUUGUGAUUGGAAAGAAAUGGAACUAGGUCAUUGAUAUAUCACAUGAAACAGUGUAAGAAAAAUCCUAACAACAUUGACACUAAUCAAGGCAAUUUAGUGUUACCUAGUAAGGGUCUUGGAGGGGAAGUAGGACAUCUUACAACUUAGAAAUUUGAUCAAGAAACAAUUAGAAAAGUUUUAGCCCAAAUGAUUGUGAUUGAUGAAUUGCCUUUCAAGUUUGUUGAGAGUGAAGGAUUUAGAAAAUUUAUGUUUGUAGCAUGCCCCAAGUUUCGUAUUCCUUCAAGAUGGACUAUAACUAGAGAUAUUUAUCAGUUGUACUUGGAUGAAAGGAGUAAGCUGAAACAAUAUUUAAGAAGUUCAUGUUCUAGAGUUUGUUUAACUAUUGAUACAUGGACCUCUAUGCAAAGAGUUAAUUAUAUGUGUCUCAUUGUGCACUUUAUUGAUAACGAUUGGAAAUUGAAUAAGAAAAUCAUAAGUUUUAUCCAAUUUCUAGUCAUAAGGGAGAUGCAAUUGGGAUUAUGAUUGAGAAAUGCUUAUUAGAUUGGGGGAUUGAUAAGUUGUUUACUGUCACUGUUGAUAAUGCAACUUCGAAUGAUAUUGCUAUUGCUUAUUUAAGAAAGAGAUUUAGUCCUUGAGGGGGUUGCAUUGCAAAUGGUAAAUAUCUUCAUAUAAUAUGUAUUGCACAUAUUGUGAAUUUGAUUGUUGUUGAAGGUUUAAAGGAAAUGAACAAAUCUAUUGCACGUGUUAGGGGGGCUGUGAAAUAUGUGAGACAAUCUCCAGCUAGAUUAAAAAAGUUCAUGGACUGUGUUGAGAUGGAAA